UACGUAGGGUGCAAGCGUUGUCCGGAAUUAUUGGGCGUAAAGAGCUCGUAGGCGGUUCGUCGCGUCGGCUGUGAAAACCCGGAGCUCAACUCCGGGCCUGCAGUCGAUACGGGCAGACUAGAGUUCGGUAGGGGAGACUGGAAUUCCUGGUGUAGCGGUGAAAUGCGCAGAUAUCAGGAGGAACACCGGUGGCGAAGGCGGGUCUCUGGGCCGAUACUGACGCUGAGGAGCGAAAGCGUGGGGAGCAAACAGG
rnacentral:rRNA from 1 species